rnacentral:rRNA from 1 species
UUGACCUCGGAUCAGGUAGGGAUACCCGCUGAACUUAAGCAUAUCAAUAAGCGGAGGAAAAGAAACCAACAGGGAUUGCCUCAGUAACGGCGAGUGAAGCGGCAAGAGCUCAAAUUUGAAAGCUGGCCCCCUUGGGGUCCGCAUUGUAAUUUGCAGAGGAUGCUUCGGGAGUGGCCCCCAUCUAAGUGCUCUGGAACGGGCCGUCAUAGAGGGUGAGAAUCCCGUAUGGGAUGGGGUGUCCGCGACCAUGUGAAGCUCCUUCGACGAGUCGAGUUGUUUGGGAAUGCAGCUCUAAAUGGGUGGUAAAUUUCAUCUAAAGCUAAAUAUUGGCCGGAGACCGAUAGCGCACAAGUAGAGUGAUCGAAAGAUGAAAAGCACUUUGAAAAGAGAGUUAAAAAGCACGUGAAAUUGUUGAAAGGGAAGCGCUUGCGACCAGACUCGCCUGCGGGGUUCAGCCGGUAUUCGUACCGGUGUACUUCCCCGUGGGCGGGCCAGCGUCGGUUUGGGCGGCCGGUCAAAGGCCCUCGGAAUGUAACGCCUCUCGGGGCGUCUUAUAGCCGAGGGUGCCAUGCGGCCAGCCCGGACCGAGGAACGCGCUUCGGCACGGACGCUGGCAUAAUGGUCGUAAGCGACC